UAUGUACCACACGUCGCACACGAUGUUGACUGGACAGAGCCUCCGCAUGCCAGCCACGCACACCAUGCCCACGAGUCACAUACAGUCUGCACAGCCGCCACGAAUCCGACAUAGCCGCCGAUGCUGCUGGAAAAGAGGAUGACCCCGUCCCACCCAUCUGGCUCUCUCUCACAUCUCACCCACCCACCACAUCUCUCUCUUCUUGGAAUAAUGGCGGCUGUAGCAUCUUUCACUGCCUUGCCUCCUCCACCACUCCUCUCCCUUCUUCCUCCAUCUUCCUCCUCUACGUCCUCCCCUCCCUGCCACGAAACUCUCCCCCUCUCCCGCCUCCCUCUUCUAACAAUUCUCCCUGUCGCCGCAGGUUUUGCCACCAGGACUCCAUGAGAAGAUUGCGGCCGCGGGGUGUCCAGCCAGGGUGAGCACAGCAACAACACCGGCAGUGCCGCGCUGGGCCAUGUAGGGAGAGGUGAGGUCCGGUAGGUGCACAGUAGCAAGGAAAGCACAGCAACAGCAGCACUCCAUUUUCUCUUUCCUUUUUUUCUUGAUUAAUUGCUAGUUUCCUUUUUUCCUGAUUAAUUGCCAGCCUAUUCGCACCGUGACAGAUGGAGUAGUUUCCACUGAUGUCCCUCCUCCUUUCCUCGAUUUAAUUGUCAGAUGCAUUGAUCAGCAGGUUUUGUGGAGUUAAUUCUUUCUCAAGGCUUGUUGAAAGGCAAUUUGUAAACCUAUAUAAAUAGGUUGAAUUUGGUUUGCAGAAUCGGUGUGAGACUAUUAAGAAAACGAACCCGGCUGAAUAUAUGUAUCUCACUUGGAAGGUGCCUCUCUGCCAGAUCGUAGGUCAUGGGUUCGAACUCUGCUAUCUACUAUCUUUUGCUACUCGCUCGGUCCAGGACAGAUGAAAGUAAAAUAUUAGUAUGAUUAGUAUUCUUUUAAAUCUCAGCCGUCGAUCUUUGUGGUUAACAAAAAAUCAAUGGAUAUAAAGAGACGACAUAUGGAGAACUAUGAAAGCCUCCGUCUUUUAAUAUUAGGUAUAGAUUAUAUCACAAUACUUAUGUUGUUUCUUUCUUAUUUUAUAACGUUUACAUGAAGAGGGAGAAUGCCGGCAGCUGGAAUUCUCAGCUAGAAAAGGAUCAAAUAUUAGAGACCUAUUCUGCACAACUCCAACGAGAACUACCAUGGUGUUGUUUUUGUGCAGAAAUAAAAGUUCUCGGAAUGGAACAAAACUUUGCAAGGAUUUUUUAUAUCAAUAAAGAGAAUUUUUGGAGACAAGAGUCACCUGAGGGGGGCACCUGGUUGGGCACAACACACUAGGGCGCGCCUGCCCCCCCCCCCCAGGCGCGCCCAG